rnacentral:sRNA from 1 species
AGAAAAGUAACCGCCGCCCCGCGCAGGGGCGACACUAAUAGACCGACACGAUCACAGGUCAUUCACGACCCACCCAAAGCGAACCACCAAAAGCCCCCC